UACGUAGGGUGCAAGCGUUGUCCGGAAUUAUUGGGCGUAAAGAGCUCGUAGGCGGUCUGUUGCGUCGGCUGUGAAAACCCGGGGCUCAACUCCGGGCCUGCAGCCGAUACGGGCAGACUAGAGUUCGGCAGGGGAGACUGGAAUUCCUGGUGUAGCGGUGAAAUGCGCAGAUAUCAGGAGGAACACCGGUGGCGAAGGCGGGUCUCUGGGCCAUAACUGACGCUGAUGCACGAAAGCUAGGGGAGCAAACAGG
rnacentral:rRNA from 1 species